CCUUUAUUAGGAAGAGCGACGGGCGAUGUGUACACAUCUCAGAGCUUUUUUCAAAUUAUCUUUCUAAAAUAAUUUUACUUCCAAAUCCACCUUAAAUUGUUUUUUCAUAAAAUUUCCGUGUAAUUUAUAAUUAUUGUAACCCAUCACCACCUUCUUAUAAGCUGCACCUUGACCUGAAGUUAGUAAAAAUAGUUAAUUUAGAUAAUAUCUUUUUAGAAUUAUCUGACAACGGCGGUAUACAAACUAGACAAAAGAAGGUAAGGUAAAACGUGGAUUGUCGAUUACGGGACAGGUUCCUCUGGAAAGAGUGAGAUGCCGUCAAAUUCUUUGGGUUUGGAGAUUUUCUUUUACUACCCUGGCAAUGAAGGAUAAGAAUAGUAGGGUAUCUAAUCCUAGUUUAGUAACUUAUUUAAGUAGAUUAAAUCUUAUAUUUUCAGUUUGUUCGUUUAUAGCUGAGGAUUUCACCCCUAAUAAUAUUAUCACUAAACUGAUUGUAAAUUUACAUUUUACUACAUUCCGCCAAUAUAUCUUAUUCAAGUCCUUCGUCUAACCGCGGUGGCUGGCACGAUUUUUACCGACUUUAUUUUUAUUGCUAAGUCUACAGUUUGUAAUAAUUAAUAUUCAUUACUAUAGCAUUAUCUUUUAGACAUCUCUUGAUUAUAUGUAAAGCAUAAAAACAAUAAGAUUUA
rnacentral:rRNA from 1 species